rnacentral:misc_RNA from 1 species
GUGAAUCAUCGAAUUUUUGAACGCAAAUUGCACUUUCUGGUAUUCCGGGAAGUAUGCUUGUUUGAGGGUCAGUUAAAUAAAAAUCGGUGUUGUUGCUGCUUUUUGUUGUGACGAGUCGGAAUUGAGUUGUCUUACCUUCGGUUAUGUGACUUAAAAUUUUGAAUGAGUUUCGAACGUAUUUGAUUUUGUUACGUACGUUUGAGAUGUAGAAUUGUUUAUUAGGUUCGGUCUUCUUCAUGAUGCGCGCCUAUCAUUUGUCAUUAAAUGACU